rnacentral:hammerhead_ribozyme from 1 species
GCACUGUUGAAGAGUCCCACACUAGGACGAAACGGCCGUGCAAUGC